rnacentral:rRNA from 1 species
CGGAACACGUACGCAACCUUCCUUUAACUGGAGGAUAGCCCCUCGAAAGAGGGAUUAAUACUCCGUAACAUAAUUGAUGUGGCAUCACAUUAUUAUUAUAGCUCCGGCGGUUAAAGAUGGGCGUGCGCCUGAUUAGAUAGUUGGCGGGGUAACGGCCCACCAAGUCUGCGAUCAGUAACUGGUGUGAGAGCACGACCAGUCACACGGGCACUGAGACACGGGCCCG